rnacentral:misc_RNA from 1 species
GGAGGUUAAAAUUCUAUAUAUGGUAAAAAAUUCUAUGUAACUCCAAAAACUCUAACAAUGCUACUGCUACUACACUAGGAAUACUCCAACCUAAUCCAAGAACCACAAAAAGUUUUAUGUAACCUGAGAGAAGAUUUCAAGGCGAACUUCCUAUUUCUUCUUCAGAUAAUGGCAACGGAUCAGAGACUUCAGCCAGAGAUUCAAGCAUACUUAUGACUUCGGCCGUGUCAUC